rnacentral:rRNA from 1 species
GGCUCAGGAUUGAACGCUGGCGGCAUGCCUUACACAUGCAAGUCGAACGGCAGCACGGGGCAACCUGGUGGCGAGUGGCGAACGGGUGAGUAAUGCAUCGGAACGUGCCAUUGAGUGGGGGGUAACGUAGCGAAAGUUACGCUAAUACCGCAUAUUCUGUGAGCAGGAAAGCAGGGGAUCGCAAGACCUUGCGCUCUUUGAGCGGCCGAUGUCAGAUUAGCUAGUUGGUGAGGUAACGGCUUACCAAGGCGACGAUCUGUAGCGGGUCUGAGAGGAUGAUCCGCCACACUGGAACUGAGACACGGUCCAGACUCCUACGGGAGGCAGCAGUGGGGAAUUUUUGGACAAUGGGGGCAACCCUGAUCCAGCCAUGCCGCGUGAGUGAAGAAGGCCUUCGGGUUGUAAAGCUCUUUCGGCCGGGAAGAAAUCGCAUGGGUUAAUACCCUGUGUGGAUGACGGUACCGGCAUAAGAAGCACCGGCUAACUACGUG